rnacentral:tRNA from 1 species
UCGUUAGCUCAGUUGGUAGAGCAGCUGACUUUUAAUCAGCGGGUCGUAGGUUCGAGCCCUACACGA